GGCGCAUGGAACGUAUCAUAUCCUGAUAUCUUCGCUCGUUCGGCGCUCAGGGUACGACAUGGAAACGUUGGACAACAGCCAAACCGCCUUUACUGCGGAAGCACCUUCGCACUUUCCCAGACCGACCGCGCCGCCGCGCAGCCCGACGCGUGAACUGCUCGCGUUGGCGUUGCCCCUCAUCGUCAGCCAAAGUUUCAUGACGGUGCAGGUGUUCGUCGAUACGAUUCUGCUCGCGAAACACAAUGCACUCGAAAUGACAGCGUCCUUUCCGGCGGUCAUGUGGUAUUGGCUGCCGUUCAGCCUGCUGCAAAUGACGGCGGGAUACACGUCCACGUUCGUCGCGCAAUACACCGGGGCAAAGCGGCCUCAGCGCGUCGGGCCCGCGGUUUGGCAGGGCAUUCAUUUCGCCAUGAUAUCUGGGUUGCUCUUCUUGGUGUUCGCGCCAAUCGCUCCAUAUUUGAUGGCGAUCGCGGGGCACAGCGAGGAAUUGCAAGCGCUGGAAACAACCUACUUUCAAUGCUUGACGUUCGCGGCAAUGCCGAUGCUGGUGAUGCACGCGGUCAAUGGCUUCUUCUCGGGGCGCGGCCACACGUGGACGGUGCUUGGCAUCGAAGCGUUCGGCACCGUCGUCAAUGUGCUGCUCGCAUUGGUGCUGAUCUUCGGCGAGUUCGGCCUUCCGGAGAUGGGCAUCGCCGGCGCGGGCUGGGCGACCGUCGCGGGUUCGUGGGCGUCUGCGUUGCUCGCGGUCGUCUUGCUCGUGCAGC
rnacentral:misc_RNA from 1 species